rnacentral:rRNA from 1 species
AUGGCGGCAGCCAUCAUGUCCCUCUCCUCCUCGACCUUUGCCGGCAAGGCGGUGAAGAAUGUACCAUCUUUGGCUCUCUUUGGAGAGGCCCGAGUCACAAUGCGCAAGACUGCAGCGAAGGUGAAGCAGGUUUCCUUUGGCAGCCCAUGGUACGGUGCCGACCGUGUGCUCUACCUCGGCCCACUCUCUGGUGAGCCCCCGAGCUACCUCACUGGUGAGUUCCCAGGCGACUAUGGGUGGGACACUGCCGGACUUUCAGCUGACCCCGAGACCUUCGCCAAGAACCGGGAGCUGGAGGUGAUCCAUUGCCGCUGGGCCAUGCUCGGGGCACUUGGUUGUGUCUUCCCUGAGUUGCUCGCCCACAACGGCGUCAACUUCGGUGAGGCUGUUUGGUUCAAGGCCGGCUCUCAAAUCUUUAGUGAGGGUGGUCUUGAUUACCUCGGCAACCCCAGCCUCGUCCACGCACAAAGCAUCCUUGCUAUUUGGGCAUGCCAGGUUGUGCUCAUGGGUGCCGUCGAGGGGUACCGCGACCCACUCUACCCAGGCGGCAGCUUCGACCCUCUUGGGUUGGCUGACGACCCUGAGGCAUUCGCCGAGCUCAAGGUGAAGGAGAUCAAGAACGGUCGCCUUGCCAUGUUCUCAAUGUUCGGCUUCUUUGUCCAAGCUAUCGUCACGGGCAAGGGCCCACUCGAGAACCUCGCUGACCACAUCGCCGACCCCGUCAACAACAAUGCAUGGGCAUUUGCCACCAACUUUGUCCCCGGCAAGUAA